UAGAGAGAUAUGAAGGUCUGUGAUAGAGAUGUGAAGGUCUGUGAUAGAGAGAUGUGAAGGUCUGUGAUAGAGAGAUGUGAAGGUCUGUGAUAGAGAUGUGAAGGUCUGUGAUAGAGAGAUGUGAAGGUCUGUAAUAGAGAGAUGUGAAGGUCUGUGAUAUAGAGAUGUGAAGGUCUGUGAUAGAGAUGUGAAGGUCUGAUAGAGAGAUGUGAAGGUCUGUGAUAGAGAUGUGAAGGUCUGAUAGAGAGAUGUGAAGGUCUGUGAUAUAGAGAUGUGAAGGUCUGUGAUAGAGAUGUGAAGGUCUGUGAUAGAGAUGUGAAGGUCUGUGAUAGAGAGAUAUGAAGGUCUGUGAUAGAGAGAUGUGAAGGUCUGAUAGAGAGAUGUGAAGGUCUGUGAUAGAGAGAUAUGAAGGUCUGUGAUAGAGAGAUAUGAAGGUCUGUGAUAGAGAUGUGAAGGUCUGAUAGAGAGAUGUGAAGGUCUGUGAUAGAGAGAUGUGAAGGUCUGUGAUAGAGAGAUGUGAAGGUCUGUGAUAGAGAGAUGUGAAGGUCUGUGAUAGAGAGAUGUGAAGGUCUGUGAUAGAGAGAUGUGAAGGUCUGUGAUAGAGAGAUGUGAAGGUCUGUGAUAGAGAGAUGUGAAGGUCUGUAAUAGAGAGAUGUGAAUGUGUGAGAUAUAGAGAUGUGAAGGUCUGUGAUAGAGAGAUGUGAAGGUCUGAUAGAGAGAUGUGAAGGUCUGUGAUAGAGAUGUGAAGGUCUGAUAGAGAGAUGUGAAGGUCUGUGAUAUAGAGAUGUGAAGGUCUGUGAUAGAGAUGUGAAGGUCUGUGAUAGAGAUGUGAAGGUCUGUGAUAGAGAGAUAUGAAGGUCUGUGAUAGAGAGAUGUGAAGGUCUGAUAGAGAGAUGUGAAGGUCUGUGAUAGAGAUGUGAAGGUCUGUGAUAGAGAGAUAUGAAGGUCUGUGAUAGAGAGAUGUGAAGGUCUGAUAGAGAGAUGUGAAGGUCUGUGAUAGAGAGAUAUGAAGGUCUGUGAUAGAGAUGUGAAGGUCUGUGAUAGAGAGAUAUGAAGGUCUGUGAUAGAGAUGUGAAGGUCUGAUAGAGAGAUGUGAAGGUCUGUGAUAGAGAGAUGUGAAGGUCUGUGAUAGAGAGAUGUGAAGGUCUGUGAUAGAGAGAUGUGAAGGUCUGUGAUAGAGAGAUGUGAAGGUCUGUGAGAGAGAGAUGUGAGGGUCUGUGAUAGAGAGAUGUGAGGGUCUGUGAUAGAGAGAUGUGAAGGUCUAUGAUAGAGAUGUGAAGGUCUGUGAUAGAGAGAUGUGAAGGUCUGUGAUAGAGAGAUGUGAAGGUCUGUGAUAGAGAGAUGUGAGGGUCUGUGAUAGAGAGAUGUGAGGGUCUGUGAUAGAGAGAUGUGAAGGUCUGUGAUAGAGAGAUGUGAGGGUCUGUGAUAGAGAGAUGUGAAGGUCUGUGAUAGAGAGAUGUGAAGGUCUGUGAUAGAGAGAUGUGAAGGUCUGUGAUAGAGAGAUGUGAAGGUCUGAUAGAGAGAUGUGAAGGUCUGUGAUAGAGAUGUGAAGGUCUGUGAUAGAGAUGUGAGGGUCUGUGAUAGAGAGAUGUGAAGGUCUAUGAUAUAGAUGUGAAGGUCUGUGAUAGAGAGAUGUGAAGGUCUGUGAUAGAGAGAUAUGAAGGUCUGUGAUAGAGAUGUGAAGGUCUGUGAUAGAGAGAUGUGAAGGUCUGUGAUAGAGAGAUGUGAAGGUCUGAUAUAGAGAUGUGAAGGUCUGUGAUAGAGAGAUGUGAAGGUCUGUGAUAGAGAGAUGUGAAGGUCUGUGAUAGAGAGAUGUGAAGGUCUGUAAUAGAGAGAUGUGAAGGUCUGUGAUAGAGAGAUGUGAAGGUCUGUGAUAGAGAUGUGAGGGUCUGUGAUAGAGAGAUGUGAAGGUCUGUGAUAGAGAGAUGUGAAGGUCUGUGAUAGAGAGAUGUGAAGGUCUGUGAUAGAGAGAUGUGAAGGUCUGUAAUAGAGAGAUGUGAAGGUCUGUAAUGUGUGAGAUAGAGAGAUGUGAAGUGUGUUGCAUACAUCAGUGUAUGCUACCUUUGUUGAGAUCUCCACCAAGGUUAUAUUAUACUAUAUUUUAAGUUGCUAAAAUGUUUUCUGAUGAUCCGUAUGAUGUUGAUUCCUUAAUUCUAUGUUAACCUGUGGUUAGCCUCUUUCAUGAAUAUAUUUUGGAAAUUAUUAAUUUUAGGCACAAUCUUGAAACUAUCAAAAUUGACACAAAAUUAAGAGACAUUUUUUUCUGGUAUUAAAGUAUUUAAAAUGGUACAGUAAAGUCUGUCUAAAUGUCAGUUUAAAGAUGAAGGUCUGAUUUAGAUAUGUCUCCUCAUUAACAUUCAGUGUAGGUUAUACCUAAGUGUUUAUAUACGUUUACCUGUUGAUAUGUUAUAUAUCAUAACUUUUAACUGAUAGAGUUCAAUGGAGCCUCCUUAGUCUAUAAUUAUAAUGUAAUUUCCAGUCACAUUUUCAACAUGAGAAAAUAACAGAUUUUACAUAUGUGUAUGGAUCAAAGACUUUCCAUGAUAGAGUGGUAACUCUUUAUUCUAGACCUUUUUACCAAUCUAUCUGGAAAAUGACAAUAUCAAAAGAAUGACAAUAACUCUAAGAUUACAGGUAAAAGCUUACCUUAAUAAAAGGAUUUUGGUUGAACUGGUUAACGAGGUUCUGUAGAAUAUAUAUAUCCUUUGUGUAACAACUGUGUUAUUGUUUCGUUGAGACAUUAAUCUUGUUUUUACACUGUGCAUGCUACUA